rnacentral:lncRNA from 1 species
CAAACAACAUAGGACACCAUUUCCUAGAGGAGUUGCAACAAGAGCAAACCAAUUGCUGGAGCUUGUGCAUUCGGAUGUUUGUGGAUCCAUGAGGACACCAUCUAUGAGUGGUAGUGAAAAGUGGGAGAUGUGUCCAAGUGGGAGUAGUGGUGUGUUUGUGGACACAUCUUCAAUUCCAACAAACAAACAAGAAGAUGAAGAAGAGCAUUCUCAAAGUGAAGAAGAAGAGGAAGUUGCCAUGAUAGAAGAGCCCAAUACUAUGAAGACUUCAAUUCCAGCAAGAUACAACAA